rnacentral:tRNA from 1 species
CCGGAAUAGCUCAGUUGGUAGAGCAGAGGACUGAAAAUCC